GUCUACGGCCACGCCACCCUCAACAAGCCUGAUCCCGUCUGAUCUCGGAAGCUAAGCAGGGUCGGGCCUGUAUAGCACUUGGAUGGGAGACCAUCUAGGAAGACCAGGAGCUGUAAGAA
rnacentral:rRNA from 1 species